AUACGUACUGUGCGAACGUUAUUCGGAAUCACUGGGCUUAAAGGGUGCGUAGGCGGCCGAUUAAGUAGGGUGUGAAAGGCUCCGGCUCAACCGGAGCACUGCGCUCUAAACUGAUCGGCUUGAGUGAGAUAGAGGUGUGCGGAACUUCCAGUGGAGCGGUGAAAUGCGUUGAUAUUGGAAGGAACGCCGGUGGCGAAAGCGGCACACUGGGUCUCAACUGACGCUGAGGCACGAAAGCCAGGGGAGCGAACGGGAGUAGAAACCCCUGUAGUCC
rnacentral:rRNA from 1 species